rnacentral:rRNA from 1 species
UACGUAGGCAGCGAGCGUUGUUCGGAGUUACUGGGCGUAAAGGGUGCGUAGGCGGUUGUUUAAGUUUGGUGUGAAAUCUCCCGGCUCAACUGGGAGGGUGCGCCGAAUACUGAAUGACUAGAGUGCGGGAGAGGAUAGUGGAAUUCCUGGUGUAGCGGUGAAAUGCGUAGAUAUCAGGAGGAACACCGGUGGUGUAGACGGCUAUCUGGACCGUAACUGACGCUGAGGCACGAAAGCGUGGGGAGCGAACAGG